CUCCGUUGAAGGAUGCUCCUAGCGCUUCCUGAGGACUCCAAGCACUCUGGCAGACACCACAAUCACCGAACCGGAGAAACAAAUAAAUUCUCCCAAGCAUGUGAAUGCUGUAGACAGUUGAAUAGGAACAAUACGAAUAGGUUUACUCUCCUAGCAGUCAAACUGGAACAGCAUACAAUAAAUCCUUCCCCCAAUAAUGAGACGACACUUCACUUUGAGGGUUAAAACAGGA